GGAAUGUAUCUGUGAGGUCAUCUAUUGAGAAGACUGGCAUUGUAGCAGGGAGCUGAGUAGAAAAGACCCACCCUCAGUCAGUGUGGGAGAGCACACCGCCUGACCAGCUGAGGAACCGGACAGAAACAAAGAUGCCACCAGAUUGCCUCCUCUUUCCCUACAUGACAUAAACAAAACUACAUAUCAAAGCAGGCUCAACCAGCCGGUCCAUUGAAGGAGGGUGGAAAUUAGCAAGAGGAGAAUGACAAAGUCACUUGCUGGACACCUUUUAAGCUUUUAAAAAAUUACAUGUAUGUAUUUAGUGUGUGUAGAUGGCGCCAUGACGUGCAUUUGGAGGUGAGAGGAUGUCUUCUGGGUGUUGUCUGUCCUUUCACUACGUGGGUCCUAGAGAGGGAUCUCAGGUGGACAGGCUUGGCAGCGGGCACAUUCACCUACUGAGCCAUCUCACUGGCCUUCCUUUUAACUUUUAAAAACUGAAAAAAAAAUGCUCUUUAAAGUGCUCAUUCCAACUUCCAACCCUGGUAGCUGGGAAUGGGAGUUGCUGCUGCUCCAGGUUUCUGCAGAGUCCCUGUAAGUCUCCUAUGUGGCAUCCAUUGUGGUGGAGCCGACCUUGCUUGUGGUUGUCAUAGCAACUGCCUAGUGACUAACAGUGCUGGGGCCCCUUCCAUAUUCCUGUUACCCAGCUCCAGUCACUCUCUGGUGAAACGUCCCUUCAGAUCUUUUGUCAGUCUCAAGAAGAUCAUGUGUUUUGUUUUCUUUAAAUUACUUCUGGCUACCAGCCCUUGGUUAUAGAUGAUGCUUUGCAAAUAUUUUCUCUCACUUCUGUGGCUUUCUCUUCUAUUCUCCUAGGCAUCUUUUGAAGAGUGAAAGUUUUUCUGUUAUAAUGAAGCCCAGUCCAGGGGCUUUUUCUUGUGUGCACGUGUGUUUGUGUGUGCAGGUUCAUGUGUGGGUAGGUGCAUGUGUUUGUGCUGGUGCAUGUGUGUGCUCACGCAUGUAGAGUUCAGAGGACAAUCUUUAGUGUUGUUCCUCAGACAUGAUUUACCUUGGCUUUGGAGAGAGUAUGUCUUUCUUGGGACCUGAGGCUUACUGAUGAGCAUAGGCUGGCUAGCCAGGGAGUCCCAGGCAUCCACCUGUCUCGGCCUUCUUAGUCCUGGGUCAUGAGCACAAGCCACCAUGCGUGGCUUUCAUUUAAAGCCCGAGUGCCAGGAGUUGAACUCACCUUCUCAUGCUCACACAGCAAACACGUUACCGACGGAGCCAUCCCACCCCCCACCAAGAGGUUUUCUUUAAUGAUUUAUGCUUUAUCUAUAAAAAAUUUAUCUAUUAAAAAAUUAGCAGUCCAGUGCCAAAUUCAAGGUCACUCAAAUUUUUCUCUUAUGUUUU